CCCUGUCAUUCGGGGUCUGAGUUUGCCGGGUCUCGGCGGCACCGACGCCGCUGGGGGAGGGGCGCGCGCUCGCAUUCAGGGCGCGCGCUCCCGCCGCUGUUUUGCUCGGUGCUGCUGACGCAGAAAGCCAAAGCGCGGCAAAGCUGCCCGCCCAGCCCCCACCUUCCCCCCACUCCGUCCUCACCCCUCCCCGCGCUUGCUCGGAAGGACGGGGGAAGGGAACAGAAGGAGGCGGCUGGCCCACACGACGGCUGCCAGCGAGGGGGAGGGGCAGGCCGGGUGCUGGGCUGUGCUCGCCCCGGGCGGUACCCUGCGUAGUGCCCGGGGAUGCUCACUCCUCCACCCCCGCGCCUUGGCACAUUCCACCACGAAUUUUCCCAGCGCAAGUCGGUGGAAAGCCCCACGACGAGCGAUGAGGGCGUGAGGCCGAGGCCCGCGUACCUGGGCCACCCCCUACGUCCUCUAUCCGCGUCCAGUUCUGGGUGCCCCGAGUCUUUGGGGAGGUCCCUUCGCCCACUACCCAGCCUAGGCGCCCGCCGCCAAAGCCAGCCGACGAGUGGGCUUCGUGCCAAGCAUUCACAUUGGGGGUAUUCGUGCAUCGAGGGGACUCGAGGGCCGGCAUGGGCUCCGUCGUCGAGCUGAACAGCCCACGGGCGUCGCAACACACAGCGGGUGCCCGCACUUCGGGGUUCUGGUUUGCGCCUGCCCCGAGCGGUCACUGCCGUCGCGACAGCUACUGAGAUGCUUCCAGGACCCGGCCUUCGAGUCUGUCGCUCUCCCGCCCCACUUAAAGCUCUGUGAAGGGCACUUGAACAUUUCCUUGCUAGGUUAUUCGAGGGGAAGUAAUGGUCCCUCAGAUCGGGUGGGCUAGUCCUUGGGGGCUCCUUGAAGUUUUGGGCGCCAUUUAGGGAACACGCGGAAUCCGAAAAAGGGAACCAUCCGGCCGCCACACUCAAGAUGGCGCUGGGCUCGGCGAGCGUGGCGUGACGUGGCGACCCAACCCACUCGGACGAUCCAAAAACCGUAGGCCACCCUCUUCUUAUCGCCAUUUCACUUGGCUGUCGAACUGAGACACCGGCUUUGUGGCAGGAAAGAUCGAAUUGAGUGCAAAGACGUUCGAGAGAAAAAAAAUACCUGUGCCACACACAAGAUGGCGACAGAUAGUGUUCAUCCUCGUGUUGCCAGAAGGGGGCGCCCGACACGGAAGGCGGGACUCGGGAGAAACGAGCGCACACUGGCUGAGAGUGGCGGGCGAACACAAAGUUGACGCUUUGCGUCCUGCCAUUGGUCAGGAAAGCGGACCAAGGGAUUAUAGCAAGGAACUUGGGAUAACCAAGUGAAUCAGUGACCAAGUUGAGGCUAAAACCUUAGAGUGGAGGAAUCUUUGUUGUUAAAUGAGCGCUGAAUCAGCUAUGGCCUUGAACCUCCUUCCUGCCUUAGGCAUGUGGUAUUUGAAGGCAUGUGGUAUUUGACACCUCGUAAGUGAAGGCGUUAUUUAGGCUAAUGGAGAGCCUCAUUCCAGGACUUCCCUGAUGGUCCAGUGAUUAGGAAUCCUCCUGCCAUGGGUUCAAUCCCUGGUCUGGGAAGCUCUCAUGUGGAGAAACUAAGCCCAGGUGCCACAACUACUGAGCCAGUGCUCUGGAGCCCACCAGCCGCAACAGCUGAAGCGCAUGUGCCUAGCACCCAUGCUGUGGAGCCCCCACUUGCUGCCGCCAUAGAAAGCCUGAGGGCAGCAGUGAGGACUCAGCACAGCCAAAAAGAGAAAAAGCCCCGUAUCUCCAGUGACAGGCAACCCCUCACCUCCUUUGCUCUUUCUGAACAGGUUGUUAUCCCCUUCCCCUGUCACUUUGACUCACUGGUGCCUCUCUGCCCUUUGCUGCUUCUGUGACCUUUCAACACCCCACCCCCACCCCCAGGACAAACUGGUAAUGCCUUGGGAGCCCACAUGUCCUGUCCCUGGUCGUUUACAGCCUGAGGCGCACUGGCUUAGGUUAGAGCUACUUUAAGCCAGGGGACCCAAUUGGCCUCCAGGCUAGUUUUGGUUUUAGGGAAUUUGCACGAGGGACACCUCUGUAUGGCCUGCACACUCUCAGCUGGACGACAGGCCUUUCUCUGCUGGCCUGGGGCACACAUUUUUUUCAGUUGCCUCACCCUGUAGGCACUUAAGUUUGCAAUUCUUGCUCCAAAGCCAUUUCCAACAUAUUCCUAAUUGGUCAUCUCACAAUUUUGAUACCCAAGAGACCAGAAAGAAUAUAAAUGCUAGUAAAGCUGCCUAGGUUCAAAUCCCAGCUCUGCCAUAUGCUCUCCGUGUGAAUUUGGGAGAGUUAUCUUCCCACCUUUGAAAAAUGGAGAUGACAAGAAUAGUAUCUACCUUCCACGGGUUCUGGUGGGAACUGAACGAGUUCAUAUGCAGAAAGUGCUUAAAAAUAGGGUCUGGCACAACCAGGAAAGCUGUCAGUGUUCUCAGGAUUCCACUUUCCAGCUGCCAUCUGUACCUAAGUGGGUUGGCUUCACAGUUUUCGCAGGACUCUGGACAAAGGAACAAUGUCUUCAGCAAAUUCUUCCUAUACUUGGUGGGAAGGGAGGGCACCAGCCGAGUUGAGUUUCUGGAAGCCUGUGACUCGGUGCCUGACAUCCUCAGCAGCCCCUUUGGCCUCAGAGGAAGGACAGAGUCUGAGAGGAACAAGCCUCCAAAAGAACCGCCUUUAGAAACCCAGGAGUUUAAGGCUGUGGUUUCCUUGCCCAGGCAUCAGGGCCUGGGGAGCUGCCAGGGCCCUUUCAACUCUCCCGCCCUGCCGAGCCCGGAUGGGAUUGUGUAAGAGCCGCCCUCCACACGCCUGCUCUCUCGUGCAGCACGCCUGGGCCUGCCCGUCCUCCCGGGGAGCCGGGCCAGAAGGCCCUGGUACCCACACAGGUCUGGCCACCCAAAGGCUCCUGCCUGGUUGGGAGAGGGAGGGGGAUAUCUCUUGAAGUUCAAGGCCUAAUCCCAAACUGAUGCCAGACUGGAGUUCUGGGGAGGCUUGGGGAGAGGGGUGUGUGCUGUGUACACGUCCCUGGCCACCCCCUGAGCACACAUGCCCUGGUGUCUCCAGGGAUCUUCUGUCGGCCUGUACCAUUUCCCAGGCCUUCUUCCCUGUAUCCUUGUGUCUGUGUGUGUGUCUGUGUGAGCGUGCCUCCCUGCAUAGCCCAAGCAGGUGUUUUGCUUAAGCUCUGGGUACCGUUUGUGAGUGCAUGGGCCUAGCAUCCCAGUGGCAGGUGAAGGUGCUGGCUAGGGGAGAACAUGUGUGGGCGCACAGCCUGUUGCCCUGGCUGCAAAAGCAGGGCAUCUGGAGAAAGGUUAAUCAGGUAUGUGACCGCGAGAAGGCAUUUAAGGGGGCAUCUCCGCACCUGGCCCCACUUGGAAACUCAGCAAGACAGGAACCAAAAGCGGGCCCCAGCUGAGGACCUCGGUGGUCUGGGCCAGGCCAGAAAUCCCAACCUGGUUAAACUUGAAGCUAGGAGAGGCCGGCUUUUUGACAUCUUGAAGGUUCCUCUUCCCUCUUUCUGUUAAACUCAAAUGGGUCUUUUCUACCUUUCCGUCACCCCUGGCAGAGGAGCCACCCUCAGUCUCGAUUAGAGGGGAGAAGAUAUGAGGGAUGGAGGACACACCACCAGCUCCCCUUCUCACAGCCAAGGGGAGUGCAGGCAAGGUGAUUGAUUGGAUGGUUCCGGGGCUCAGAACACUCAGUGGUGCAACCAGGAAACGCCUGGACACGCUGGAUGGCUGGUUACCCUGGUCUGGUCCUUACUCGUGUGCUGGUAACUAUGGCAUUCCUGCAGAAAUCUGAGACACUGUCAGGAAGAAGGGACCUGCAGCGCUCAGUCCAAGAACAGCUUCCAGCUCUGAUGCUGCCUCUCUGCGAUGGAGAAGCCAGGGUGGCUCCGGGAGCAUUUGGUUUGCAUGUGACAGAGCAGAAGAAUGAAGAAGCUUAGCAGAGAUCACAGAGCCAGUGGGUGACACCGGGAUCGGGCCUCCCGCACCCUCCUGGGAGGGCUCGCAGCUGUGCCGUGCAGCGCAUAGGAAUCCGUUGGUUUCCAGAUCCAGGUGGGAACGAGGGGAGGAGAUUUCAGCCUCCUUUAAAGCAAUGUUCUCUCCUCCAAGAGGUUUUUCUGAGGGUUUCACAGGGGAGAAAAAGUGAGGCUCGGACAAUUCUACAGGAAGUCUCAAAACAGGAUGAAAGGUUACUCCAGAGAGCAAACCUCCCCAGGGAAGGGAAAGAGGAGCACCCUUUCUAAGGAAGUGCAAGCUCCAUGGGCAUUUAGAGCCUGAGAGGAAAGUCACAGCUCACCCACCUGAACCAAGAGCCCUAGGCCUCCUCAGCUGCAGUGCGUUCUUAACUUACAGUGUUGUGGCCAAGCCUAGAAUUGUGACUGUGUACUGGCUCUUGGCAGCUUUCUCCAGGACAGGCCAGUCUCUCUUGCCACUUAGGUGCUUCAAGAGUGUUACUUUGAAAGCGUGGGCUAGACACCUCCCCAUCCACCUGGCUGCUGGCAAGGCCUCGGUUUUCCCAAUCGCUAAGUGGAGGGAAGAACAUAGCCCAGGUUCCAGGGAGGGAACAGCACGGCUGUCAGUACCCCUCCAUCCUGAGUCGUUCACGGGGCCACAUCAACGUCCUUGGCCAAGACAGUGUUGAGACCCACCCCCCACCUCCGCCCCCUGCAAAGUACCUAUCACUGAGGGAGUCACCAGUCUCCUCUUGGGCCAUAUGUGAUAGGUUGGAGGUUUCCUCAAUGAAGACUUUUAGGACGAUAAAAUGUAUUCCAGAAUGUUCUUCAAAGUCACCACUAUAAUUAAACAAGGGGCAGCCAUGAUGGAAGUAAAAUGUGUUCUGAAUACCU
ensembl:lncRNA